rnacentral:rRNA from 1 species
GAUGAACGCUGGCGGCGUGCAUAACACAUUCAAGUCGAACGGAAUUAAGACUUCGGUCUUAAUUUAGUGGCGGACGGGUGAGUAACGCGUGAGCAAUCUGCCUUUCGGUGGGGAAUAACAGGGAGAAAUCGCUGCUAAUACCGUAUGAAAUAGCAGUACCGCAUGGUACAACUAUCAAAGAUAUAUUGCUGGGAGAUGGGCUUGCGUCCGAUUAGCUAGAUGGCGGGGUAACGGCCCACCAUGGCGACGAUCGGUAGCCGGACUGAGAGGUUGAACGGCCACAUUGGAACUGAGAUACGGUCCAGACUCCUACGGGAGGCAGCAGUGGGGAAUAUUGGGCAAUGGGCGAAAGCCUGACCCAGCGACGCCGCGUGAGGGAAGAAGAUCUUCGGAUUGUAAACCUUAGUCAACAGGGAAGAAGCAAGUGACGGUACCUGUGGAGGAAGCCACGGCUAACUACGUGCCAGCAGCCGCAGUAAGAC